UUGAACGCUGGCGGCAGGCCUAACACAUGCAAGUCGAACGGUAACAGGAAGCAGCUUGCUGCUUUGCUGACGAGUGGCGGACGGGUGAGUAAUGUCUGGGAAACUGCCUGAUGGAGGGGGAUAACUACUGGAAACGGUAGCUAAUACCGCAUAACGUCGCAAGACCAAAGAGGGGGACCUUAGGGCCUCUUGCCAUCGGAUGUGCCCAGAUGGGAUUAGCUAGUAGGUGGGGUAACGGCUCACCUAGGCGACGAUCCCUAGCUGGUCUGAGAGGAUGACCAGCCACACUGGAACUGAGACACGGUCCAGACUCCUACGGGAGGCAGCAGUGGGGAAUAUUGCACAAUGGGCGCAAGCCUGAUGCAGCCAUGCCGCGUGUAUGAAGAAGGCCUUCGGGUUGUAAAGUACUUUCAGCGGGGAGGAAGGGAGUAAAGUUAAUACCUUUGCUCAUUGACGUUACCCGCAGAAGAAGCACCGGCUAACUCCGUGCCAGCAGCCGCGGUAAUACGGAGGGUGCAAGCGUUAAUCGGAAUUACUGGGCGUAAAGCGCACGCAGGCGGUUUGUUAAGUCAGAUGUGAAAUCCCCGGGCUCAACCUGGGAACUGCAUCUGAUACUGGCAAGCUUGAGUCUCGUAGAGGGGGGUAGAAUUCCAGGUGUAGCGGUGAAAUGCGUAGAGAUCUGGAGGAAUACCGGUGGCGAAGGCGGCCCCCUGGACGAAGACUGACGCUCAGGUGCGAAAGCGUGGGGAGCAAACAGGAUUAGAUAUCCUGGUAGUCCACGCCGUAAACGAUGUCGACUUGGAGGUUGUGCCCUUGAGGCGUGGCUUCCGGAGCUAACGCGUUAAGUCGACCGCCUGGGGAGUACGGCCGCAAGGUUAAAACUCAAAUGAAUUGACGGGGGCCCGCACAAGCGGUGGAGCAUGUGGUUUAAUUCGAUGCAACGCGAAGAACCUUACCUGGUCUUGACAUCCACGGAAGUUUUCAGAGAUGAGAAUGUGCCUUCGGGAACCGUGAGACAGGUGCUGCAUGGCUGAGGUCAGCUCGGGUUGUGAAAUGUUGGAUGACGUGCCGCAACAGGCGCAAGCAUUAUCCUUUGUUGCCAUGGGUGCGGCCGAUAACUCAAAGGAGACUGCCAGUGAUAAACUGGAGGAAGGUGGGGAUGACGUCAAGUCAUCAUGGCCCUUACGACCAGGGCUACACACGUGCUACAAUGGCGCAUACAAAGAGAAGCGACCUCGCGAGAGCAAGCGGACCUCAUAAAGUGCGUCGUAGUCCGGAUUGGAGUCUGCAACUCGACUCCAUGAAGUCGGAAUCGCUAGUAAUCGUGGAUCAGAAUGCCACGGUGAAUACGUUCCCGGGCCUUGUACACACCGCCCGUCACACCAUGGGAGUGGGUUGCAAAAGAAGUAGGUAGCUUAACCUUCGGGAGGGCGCUUACCACUUUGUGAUUCAUGACUGGGGUG
rnacentral:rRNA from 1 species